AGACCCGAAACCCGGUGAUCUAGCCAUGGGCAGGUUGAAGGUUGGGUAACACUAACUGGAGGACCGAACCGACUAAUGUUGAAAAAUUAGCGGAUGACCUGUGGCUGGGGGUGAAAGGCCAAUCAAACCGGGAGAUAGCUGGUUCUCCCCGAAAGCUAUUUAGGUAGCGCCUCGUGAAUUCAUCUCCGGGGGUAGAGCACUGUUUCGGCUAGGGGGCCAUCCCGGCUUACCAACCCGAUGCAAACUGCGAAUACCGGAGAAUGUUAUCACGGGAGACACACGGCGGGUGCUAACGUCCGUCGUGAAGAGGGAAACAACCCAGACCGCCAGCUAAGGUCCCAAAGUCAUGGUUAAGUGGGAAACGAUGUGGGAAGGCCCAGACAGCCAGGAUGUUGGCUUAGAAGCAGCCAUCAUUUAAAGAAAGCGUAAUAGCUCACUGGUCGAGUCGGCCUGCGCGGAAGAUGUAACGGGGCUAAACUAUGCACCGAAGCUGCGGCAGCGACACUAUGUGUUGUUGGGUAGGGGAGCGUUCUGUAAGCCUGUGAAGGUGUGUCGUGAGGC
rnacentral:rRNA from 1 species